rnacentral:rRNA from 1 species
AGCGGCGGAGCAUGCGGAUUAAUUCGAUGCAACGCGAAGAACCUUACCAAGGCUUGACAUAUACUGGACCGCAUCAGAGAUGGUGUUUCCCUUCGGGGCUGGUAUACAGGUGGUGCAUGGUUGUCGUCAGCUCGUGUCGUGAGAUGUUGGGUUAAGUCCCGCAACGAGCGCAACCCUCGUUCUAUGUUGCCAGCACGUUAUGGUGGGGACUCAUAGGAGACUGCCGGGGUCAACUCGGAGGAAGGUGGGGAUGACGUCAAAUCAUCAUGCCCCUUAUGUCUUGGGCUUCACGCAUGCUACAAUGGCCGGUACAGAGGGUUGCGAUACUGUGAGGUGGAGCUAAUCCCUAAAAGCCGGUCUCAGUUCGGAUUGGGGUCUGCAACUCGACCCCAUGAAGUCGGAGUCGCUAGUAAUCGCAGAUCAGCAACGCUGCGGUGAAUACGUUCCCGGGCCUUGUACACACCGCCCGUCAAGUCACGAAAGUUGGUAACACCCAAAGCCGGUGGCCUAACCUUUUUGGAGGGAGCCGUCUAAGGUGGGAUUGGCGAUUGGGACUAAGUCGUAACAAGGUAGCCGUACCGGAA